rnacentral:rRNA from 1 species
AUCAUGGCUCAGAUUGAACGCUGCGGCAGGCCUAACACAUGCAAGUCGAGCGGUAGAGAGGUGCUUGCAUCUCUUGAGAGCGGCGGACGGGUGAGUAAUGCCUAGGAAUCUGCCUAGUGGUGGGGGAUAACGUUCGGAAACGGACGCUAAUACCGCAUACGUCCUACGGGAGAAAGCGGGGGGAUCUUCGGACCUCGCGCCAUUAGAUGAGCCUAGGUCGGAUUAGCUAGUUGGUGAGGUAAUGGCUCACCAAGGCGACGAUCCGUAACUGGUCUGAGAGGAUGAUCAGUCACACUGGAACUGAGACACGGUCCAGACUCCUACGGGAGGCAGCAGUGGGGAAUAUUGGACAAUGGGCGAAAGCCUGAUCCAGCCAUGCCGCGUGUGGGAAGAAGGUCUUCGGAUUGUAAAGCACUUUAAGUUGGGAGGAAGGGUAGUAACCUAAUACGUUGCUACUUUGACGUUACCGACAGAAUAAGCACCGGCUAACUUCGUG